rnacentral:rRNA from 1 species
GAUAUGCACCAACAAUCCAACGGGGCUCAAGCACAUGACCGAAGCUGCGAAAUGAACAUUUCUUUGAAAUGUUUUUUGGUAGGGGAGCAUUGCGUGGAGUCUGAAGGUAGACCGAGAGGACUACUGAACACUACACAAGAGACCCUGCCGGCAUAAGUAGCGAUAAACACGAUGAGAACUCGUGUCGCCGAAAGUCUAAGGUUUCCUGAGGAAGGUUAAUCCGCUCAGGGUUAGGCGGGUCCUAAGGUGAGGCCGAAAGGCGUAACUGAUGGACAGCCGGUUAAUAUUCCGGCCCCGCCUGGUGACGUUUGACGAUGGGGUGACACAGAAGGAUAGGAGAUCCACCCGAUGGACGUGGUGGUUUACCAGUGUAAGCCGGUUCCCAUAGGCAAAUCCGUGGGGGCAUUAACGGUGAGACUGGCGACGUGGCCGUAUGGCCGACAAGUCUCUGAUUUCACGCUGUCAGGAAAAACCUCUAAGGAGUCAACCAGGUGCCCGUACCCCAAACCGACACAGGUAGACAAGGUGAAUAUCCACAGGCGCUCGAGAGAACGCUCGCUCAGGAACUAGGCACAUUAGCCCCGUAACUUCGGGAGAAGGGGUGCCGCGCUAGGGUUUAUAGCCCGAGGCGGCCGCAGUGAAAUGCGUUCGGCGACUGUUUAACAAAAACACAGCUCUCUGCUAAGUCGAAUACGACGUAUAGGGGGUGACACCUGCCCGGUGCCGGAAGGUUAAAGCAAGGGCUCAGCGCCGCAAGGUGCGAAGGCUUGAACUGAAGCCCCGGUGAACGGCGGCCGUAACUAUAACGGUCCUAAGGUAGCGAAAUUCCUUGUCGGGUAAGUUCCGACCUGCACGAAUGGUGGAAUGAUAGAUCGACUGUCUUGGCGAACGGCUCGGCGAAUUUGUGGUUCCGGUGAAGACGCCGGAUGCCCGCAUCUAGACGGAAAGACCCCGUGCACCUUAACUGCACUCUGGCCAUGAAUAACGGAUUGAUCUGCGUAGAAUAGGUAGGAGCCUAUGAACUCUUGGUUUCGGCUGAGAGGGAGGCAACAGUGAAAUACUACCCUGACCAAUCUGUCGUUCUAACCUACCACCCGAGACGGGUGGGGAGACACGGCCAGACGGGUAGUUUGACUGGGGCGGUCGCCUCCUAAAUUGUAACGGAGGCGCUCAAAGAUCGGCUCAAGCGGAUUGGAAACCCGCUGUGGAGUGCAAGAGCAUAAGCCGGUUUGACUGUGAGACUUACAAGUCGAGCAGGAACGAAAGUUGGAUCUAGUGAUCCGGUGGUCCCGCGUGGAAGGGCCAUCGCUCAACGGAUAAAAGGUACGCCGGGGAUAACAGGCUGAUCUAAGCCAAGAGUUCACAUCGACGCUUAGGUUUGGCACCUCGAUGUCGGCUCAUCGCAUCCUGGGGCUGUAGAAGGUCCCAAGGGUUAGGCUGUUCGCCUAUUAAAGCGGUACGUGAGCUGGGUUCAGAACGUCGCGAGACAGUUCGGUCCCUAUCUGGUGUGGGCGCAGGAGAAUUGAAGGGAGUUGUCCCUAGUACGAGAGGACCGGGAUGAACAGACCUCUUGUGUACGAGUUGUCGCGCCAGCGGCAUAGCUCGGUAGCGAAGUCUGGAAGAGAUAAUUGCUGAAUGCAUCUAAGCAAGAAGCUCGCCCUAAGAUAAGUUCUCCCAAGGUUUAAGACCUAAGAAGGGCAGUCGAAGACUACGACUUUGAUAGGCUGGAGGUAGAAGCGCAGUAAUGCGUGCAGCUGACCAGUACUAAUCGCCCGUUCGGCUUAAUC